AUGCGGCAGUGCCGGGCCGCGGGGCUGGCGGGGCUGGCCGCGGUGCUGCUGGUGGCUGUGAGCAGAGCCCAGGUGCAGCAGGAGCCGGCGGCAGAGACCAGCGAGGGCACCGGCAUCAACAUCACCUGCUCACACCCCAACAUACAGCCCGACGGGUACAUCCAUUGGUACCGUCAGCUCCCGGGCCGAGCCCCUCAUUCCUCGUCAGCGCUUUUAAAGGCUCCAAGGAGGUGCCGGACCCGGAGGGGCAGCUGUGGGUGUCGGCAGACCGCCGCUCCAGCGUCCUGCGGCUCGCCCGGCCCCGGCUCGGGGACGCGGCGCUGUAUUACUGCGCCGUGGGCGCACGGAAGCGAAGCCGGGGCUGCGGCCGGGCACGAACCGCUUGGGGCGGGGCGGGGGCACAGUGCCGUCCGGGCCCGCAGGGGGCGCUGCCUGCAUGGCCGCCAAACUCCAUCCUGACCAGGGUGCGCCGCCCUGAGUUCUCCACAGAAACGAGCACUGCACCCAUAGCAGCCAUUCGCUGA